rnacentral:lncRNA from 1 species
AUUACUCAACCCCGGACCCUCCCAGAGAGCCACAGCGAAGGGUUUUCUCACCUUUCCUCCCUGUUCCCAUAUCCAACAAGCAUGAACCAGAAAGGGCCUGAGUCACCAGGUCAUGUGACUGAAAGUGCACACGGGGCCUCUCCACACUUGGCACGGCCAGAUGAAACCCAAAUCGCCGUGCCCUGCAAGCUAAGAGCACCAAGCAGUUGCAGGUUUGUCUCAGGAAACAUCCCGGGGCUGCCGUCCAGCCAUUCAAGCUUUUGAGAAACUUCUUACUUAGAAAUGAUUCAUUCCGAGGCACAAUGGCCUGGCCAUAAGACGGGUUCAGUUGGCCACGUUGUUCACAUUGGGGGUCUGCUGGACACUGCAGCUCCAGGAUUGCUGAGGGGAGGCCUCAGCGCCACUCCCUGCUGUAGACGCCAAUCACUGUUCUCCACAGAAGAGGAUGUUUGCAAUGGCUCCUCCCCUGCUCUCUGGCUGCUGUUCAGAUAUGUCUGGAAUGCCUAUUCUGCACCAGGCUUUGUGCUAGGAACUAGGGAAGUGAAGAAGGCAAUACUUCCGUGGUUCCUGAAGAUUUCCAUCUCAUGGUCUGAAAGACAAAGCAGAAAGCAGAAUAUCACCUAAGUUCCCAUCCAGGCCAAACUCUGGUUCAUGGGUUCCCUGAGAGCAGCUGUGCCACAGUCUAACUAUUAAGUAAACACAUGAAACCACCUAACGUUAGGACCAUCACAGAGAUCAGUAGUGAUUCAACGUCUCCAAAUGACUUGGUGAUCCUGAGAUAAAAAGAGGCUUAGGAAGUAGAAAUGCACCCUUGUCUUCAGCCAAAAAACGAUACUCUGUGAGUCAGAGCCAGCACACCAGGACAGAGGCAGAAAAUAGCGCAUUUGGUCAUUUCCGGAAGUACUGAGCAGUGGAGGGAAGUGGCAAGCGAAGAAGAGGGAGGGCAGAGCAUGGCGGGCUGCCAGGGGCUGGACACAGUGUUCCCACUCACUCUUUCCUCCAGCUGUGCUAGCCAUGUGGUGUGUUCUGGUUCCUUCAGGGUCGUGCCCUGACGAGCUUCUCUUCUCUCACCACUCCCCACCUUCUCCACUACCAUCAUCCCUGCCCCAAACAUAAACGCUAGAGCAUUCCCUGAAGAAACCAUGUUCUUCCAUAGCUAUGGGCUUCUGUUCACACUAUUCCCUGUGUUUUGAAAGCUCUUAAGCCUCCAUUAGUUCAAAUGGCACCUCCUCAGUAAAGCCUUCCUAGAUUUCCACAGGCAAAGUUAGAACACUUUCCUCUGUGCUUUCAGAGCACUUUUGUAUUCACGCAAACUUCUAUUUUCAGGAUAACCAAAGGGAUGCAGCACAGG